GAGCUUUAGCUCAGUUGGUUAGAGCAAUCGGCUCAUAACCGAUCGGUCCCGGGUUCAAGUCCCUGAAGCUCC
rnacentral:tRNA from 1 species